rnacentral:rRNA from 1 species
UACGAGGGGGGCAACUGUUGUUCGGAAUCACUGGGCGUAAAGGGUGCGUAGGCGGGUUUUUAAGUCAGGUGUUUAAUCCCGGGGCCCAACCCCGGACAGGCACUUGAAACUGGGAAUCUUGAAUAGUGGAGAGGUCAGUGGAAUUGGGGGUGUAGCGGUGGAAUGCGUAGAGAUCCCCAAGAACACCCGUUGCGAAGGCGGCUGACUGGACACAUAUUGACGCUGAGGCUCGAAAGCAUGGGGAGCAAACAGG